CCACGAUGAAAGCCAAAAUAUCCAUGUGUGUAGGCUGCUAAAAGGCUCCAGCACAUGGGAAAGAACAAUUUCCAAGCACAAAACACUCGAAGUACUAAGGGAUAUGAAUGCGCAAGUUGCCAGGAAAAGAAGCACCCUUCGAACCAGCAUACAUACCCCAAUUCCUUCCCCCAUCAGACCUGGCCAUGGAAAAAGGAAAGAAAGAAAGGAAGGAGAUGGCUGGGAAUGGAAGUCUCCCACUGAAACUGUUGCGGGAAAGGGGGCCUUGAGCCCCCAAAAUUUCUGAUUUUGUGCAAAUAAACAGAGAAGAUUUUGCUAAAAUAAGAUAAGUCAAAGAAGGGGAGGAGAAAGGAAGGAAAAAGCUUGGCCAAAUUAGAUAGAAACCAUUAGGGUUUCUUGGAAAAAGAUGGCUUCCAGCGGCUAUAAAAGGGGCCUCUUUUACCUAACCAAGAAAAACACACACCUAGAGAGCAAGCUUCCUCUCUUGCCUGCAAAACCCAGCAAUUUCGUGCACUAUUUACCCUUCUUCUCUAUUUUCCUCUUCUGGCAGACCACUUUCAGAAUCUGUCAAGCUGCCGGAAGAACAUUGUUCUUCCUUUACCUCUUCUCAGCCAAAUCUUCUUGCAAACCUUUUCUUCCUCACCUUAACACUCCCAUUUCUCCCUAGAAAGCCAUAUUUUCC
rnacentral:lncRNA from 1 species